GAUGAACGCUGGCGGCGUGCCUAAUACAUGCAAGUCGAGCGAACAGACGAGGAGCUUGCUCCUCUGACGUUAGCGGCGGACGGGUGAGUAACACGUGGAUAACCUACCUAUAAGACUGGGAUAACUUCGGGAAACCGGAGCUAAUACCGGAUAAUAUAUUGAACCGCAUGGUUCAAUAGUGAAAGACGGUUUUGCUGUCACUUAUAGAUGGAUCCGCGCCGCAUUAGCUAGUUGGUAAGGUAACGGCUUACCAAGGCGACGAUGCGUAGCCGACCUGAGAGGGUGAUCGGCCACACUGGAACUGAGACACGGUCCAGACUCCUACGGGAAGCAGCAGUAGGGAAUCUUCCGCAAUGGGCGGAAGCCUGACGGAGCAACGCCGCGUGAGUGAUGAAGGUCUUCGGAUCGUAAAACUCUGUUAUUAGGGAAGAACAAAUGUGUAAGUAACUAUGCACGUCUUGACGGUACCUAAUCAGAAAGCCACGGCUAACUACGUG
rnacentral:rRNA from 1 species